rnacentral:rRNA from 1 species
GGGUUAAGUCCCGCAACGAGCGCAACCCUUGUCUUUAGUUGCCAUCAUUAAGUUGGGCACUCUAGAGAGACUGCCAGGGAUAACCUGGAGGAAGGUGGGGAUGACGUCAAAUCAUCAUGCCCCUUAUGCUUAGGGCUACACACGUGCUACAAUGGGUAGUACAGAGGGUUGCCAAACCGUAAGGUGGAGCUAAUCCCUUAAAGCUACUCUCAGUUCGGAUUGUAGGCUGAAACUCGCCUACAUGAAGCUGGAGUUACUAGUAAUCGCAGAUCAGAAUGCUGCGGUGAAUGCGUUCCCGGGUCUUGUACACACCGCCCGUCACACCACGGGAGUUGGAGACGCCCGAAGCCGAUUAUCUAACCUUUUGGAAGAAGUCGUCGAAGGUGGAAUCAAUAACUGGGGUGAAGUCGUAACAAGGUAGCCGUAUCGGAAGGUGCGGCUGGAUC